UUAAUUGGAGGAUUUUGAAGACAUGAGAUCGAAGUACGUCUCGAGAGGAAUCCGUGAGCGCAAACGGCGACCAAAUCCGAGUCCGGACGAGGGAGAACGGAGCAAAACGAGCGGACUGUGCAAAACGCCCAGUACCCCGCGGUCACCACCCGCGGCCGCGGGGUAAGACCGCGAGUCAGCUGUUCCCGACUCAGGAGACACCCGCGGUCACCACCCGCGGCCGCGGGGCGGG
rnacentral:lncRNA from 1 species